UACGGGGGGGGGCAAGCGUUGUUCGGAAUUACUGGGCGUAAAGGGCUCGUAGGUGGCCAACUAAGUCAGACGUGAAAUCCCCGGGCUCAACCUGGGAACUGCAUUUGUGACUGUAGAGCUGGAGUGCGGCAGAGGGGGAUGGAAUUCCGCGUGUAGCAGUGAAAUGCGUAGAUAUGCGGAGGAACACCGAUGGCGAAGGCAAUCCCCUGGGCCUGCACUGACGCUCCAUGCACGAAAGCGUGGGGAGCAAACAGG
rnacentral:rRNA from 1 species